CGGGCGGGUGAGUAAUGUCUGGGAAACUGCCUGAUGGAGGGGGAUAACUACUGGAAACGGUAGCUAAUACCGCAUAACGUCGCAAGACCAAAGAGGGGACCUUCGGGCCUCUUGCCAUCGGAUGUGCCCAGAUGGGAUUAGCUAGUAGGUGGGGUAACGGCUCACCUAGGCGACGAUCCCUAGCUGGUCUGAGAGGAUGACCAGCCACACUGGAACUGAGACACGGUCCAG
rnacentral:rRNA from 1 species